AAGUCGUAACAAGGUAACCGUAGGUGAACCUGCGGAAGGAUCAUUAACACGUAUCCACGUAUCAACCAACUGUGAACUUGUUUUCACUUUCUCCCUAUGGAUGAAUCUAUUUCAUCUGUAGGCUUAUACCAAAAUACACCCUAAUCACACCUUUUGCUAGUUGACUUUUUAUCUGUAGUCUAUAGAUGAUCUCUUAGGAUUAUCUGUUGCUACACGUUCUAAUAAAACGUUAAAACGAUACAACUCUUAGCAAUGGAUAUCUUGGUUCUC
rnacentral:misc_RNA from 1 species